UCUUAGCCAUAAACGAUGCUCACUAAGUGUAGGGGUUGUAGAACUUCUGCGCUGCAGCUAACGCGAUAAGUGAGCCGCCUGGGGAGUACGACCGCAAGGUUGAAACUCAAAGGAAUUGACGGGGGCCCGCACAAGCGGUGGAGCGUGUUGUUCAAUUCGAAGCAACGCGAAGAACCUUACCAGGGCUUGACAUGUCGGUGGUACCGAAACGAAAGUGGAGGGACCCUUGGGGA
rnacentral:rRNA from 1 species